rnacentral:rRNA from 1 species
CAGUAGCCGCGGUAAUACGAAGGGCGCAGGCGUUAAUCGGAAUUACUGGGCGUAAAGCGUGCGUAGGCGGUUUGUUAAGUCUGUUGUGAAAUCCCCGGGCUCAACCUGGGAAUGGCAAUGGAUACUGGCAAGCUAGAAUGUGUCAGAGGAUGGUGGAAUUCCCGGUGUAGCGGUGAAAUGCGUAGAGAUCGGGAGGAACAUCAGUGGCGAAGGCGGCCAUCUGGGACAACACUGACGCUGAGGCACGAAAGCGUGGGGAGCAAACAGGAUUAGAUACCCGGGUAGUCCCUGUCUCUUAUAC